rnacentral:rRNA from 1 species
GCCUAAUACAUGCAGUCGAACGAACUCUGGUAUUGAUUGGUGCUUGCAUCAUGAUUUACAUUUGAGUGAGUGGCGAACUGGUGAGUAACACGUGGGAAACCUGCCCAGAAGCGGGGGAUAACACCUGGAAACAGAUGCUAAUACGGGAUAACAACUUGGACCGCGUGGCCCGAUUUNGANNGUUGUUUCCGGNUUUCUUUUUUGUAUUCCCCCNCGGCGUAUUAGCUAAUUGGUGGGUUGACGGCUCACCAUUGCUCUUACACGUUCCCUACUUGANAAGUAUUCCGCCUUUUGNCCNGGAACCGGGACAAAACUCCUCGGAAANCCCAAGGGAGUUUCUCCAAGUUCANUACAUAUGGGAACAAACCCCCCGGACAAAAAAAAGGUUUUCGCUAAAAAUCCUUGUUUUAAAAAAAAAAAUUUUAAAAANNAAUUUUUGGAGUUUGCUUUUUUUAUAAAAGAACCCAAAUAAAAAGUUCCCCCCCCCCGGAAAACAAAGGUGGAAAAUGUUCCGCNNUUUUNUUUCGAGAAGCGGCGCGCCNUUUUUUUUUUUAAUUUAAUAACCCCCCAUNCCACCCCAAAAAGGCCACCAAUAGGAGAU